GUAGGUGUAGUUUAAACAAAACAUUGGAUUGUGAUUCCAAAAAUGGAGGUUAAAAUCCUGCCACUUACC
rnacentral:tRNA from 1 species